AUGGGGAAGCAUAAGCUCACUCUGAAGACCGAGGAGGACUCCAAUCCUCGUGAUAAGUACAUAACUUGGACUGACGAGGCGACAAGGUUUAUGCUUGAGUGGUAUAUCGACCUUCGUAAGGACAAACCUGCAACUUUCAAGUUCAAGAAACAACACUUGCAAUGUGUCCAUGCUCUAAAUGGAAAGUUUUCGCUUGGUGUCACUCAAACCCAAGUGGAUCGACACUAUCGUCAAUGCAAGGAGAAGUGGGGCUGGGUGCGUUGUGCCAUGGCCAAUAGUGGCAAUGGCCUUGACAGAACCACUUUCACAUUCACACUUUCCGAGUCAUAAAAGCAAAGACUCAAUUCUCAUGCCGAUGGCUCACUUGCACUUGACCAAACCACUGUUAAUGUGGAUGAUGGUAGUGAUGACAGCGAGGAUGUGAGGGAACUUGAAGGAAAUCUAAUUCCAGCAAACAGUGAUGAAGCUGACUCUGACACUAUUGAUCGUCGCAGUCCUAAAGUCGACUUGGAUGGCAAUCCAUUAAACAAGAAGCGCAAGUGUGCAUCAUCAUCACCUUCCAAGAAGCCAACCAAGGGCAAAGCAAACAAGAAGGGCAAGGUAUCUAAUGAUGAUAUGGUAACCAGUAUCAAGAAGCUAGCUGAAUCCCUUGCAUCCCCAAUUGUGUCUGUGCAACCAAUGCCACCUGCAGAUCCUUAUGCAAAUCUUUGGAAGUGGAUCAAUGCCCUUACCAUCCCAGCUAAGGAUAAACUUGAGAUUGUUGCUUAUGUAUCCAAGCCAGACCAAUAUAUCUUUCGUAGCUAUCUUAACUAUGCUGAUGAACCAAUUCUUCGAGAGUGGGUCAUUAGCUACUUUGAGCCUCAGUUUCAUGAAGGUGGCAAUGAUGGAUCUGUGGCUGCUCACAGAAUUGCCACGUGGUUAGAUAGAGUUUGUGGCAACCUUUGUUUAUAUCUCUAG
rnacentral:rRNA from 1 species